AAAGGGCACACUUUAGUCUCCGUCACGUGUUACACGCGAGCAAAACCUCUCAGAUGAAAGGGGAAAAAUCUAAUCAUCCAGGAGACCUCUGCAAGCAAAUACUGCUAGUUAGCAAAGUGCUUCAUGCAUGAAGAAUGCUUCUGGAUGCCCAAGGACAGGAGGCAGGGUAUAAAAGUCCAUGCGUCUCCAGGCCUGCCAAACACUGCCCUUGCGGCCAUCUCCUCAGUCGCCUAGCUCUGCCUCCCUCGCCGAGAGAUGUCUUGCUACAGACCCUGCCUCCCUUACCCCUGCGGACCAGCCCCCCUUGCAAACAGCUGCAAUGAGUCUUGCGUUCUGCGGUGCGCUGACUCCACCACCGUCAUCGAACCCCCCCCGGUGGUGGUCACCCUGCCGGGCCCCAUCCUCACCUCUUUCCCUCAGAGCACAGCCGUGGGGUCCGCUCUGUCAGCUGCUGUUGGGAGUUCCCUCAGCACUGGAGGGGUCCCCGUCUCUUCCGGGGGAGCCCUUGGCUUUGGAAGAUUCACAGGCCUUGGGAGCGGUCUGUGUGGGCCCCUGCGUUCCUGCCACCUGUACUAGUAGGGCCAGCGGAUCGCUCACCUUGGGAAGAACAACCAGGAAUGGAGAAACGAGAUCUGGACCCAGGACCCAGGAGAUGCCGGGUGUUCCCAGCGUAUGAGAUACCUGCCUCAUCCUCAUGCUCUAACUGGAAGGGAGCCAUGUGUCAUCCCUUGACACCACGCCCUUCUUGCUCUUAGUCUUCCUUUGCUUUCUCUGCUACUGCCAGGCAGCCCACGCAUCCUCGCUGCUGGGCUUCAAAGCUUUUGCUGAUGACCAGGGCAACAUACUCCACCCACCCCUGCUGUGGGUGGCAGGUUAUUCUCACCAUCUGCGGCUGCAAUGGAGAGAAAAGAGCGCCUUGCAUGCCACUGCAAAAAGUGAUGUCCUCUUGCCCUGGGAAGCCCUGGGCCUCUCACGCUCAGUGUUCUUCCACCUUCCUUUAAAAUUUAAACUUUGUCUUCUCAUUAAAAAAAUGUUGCAUCCCA